rnacentral:rRNA from 1 species
CACGUAGUUAGCCGGUGCUUCUUCUGCAGGUACCGUCACACACGCUUCUUCCCUGCUGAAAGAGGUUUACAACCCGAAGGCCGUCAUCCCCCACGCGGCGUCGCUGCAUCAGGCUUCCGCCCAUUGUGCAAUAUUCCCCACUGCUGCCUCCCGUAGGAGUCUGGGCCGUGUCUCAGUCCCAGUGUGGCCGGUCGCCCUCUCAGGCCGGCUACCCGUCGUCGCCUUGGUAGGCCAUCACCCCGACCAACAAGCUGAUAGGCCGCGGGCUCAUCUCACACCGCACAAGGCUUUCCACCACCAGACCAUGCGGCCGGCAGUCCCAUCCAGUAUUAGACCCCGUUUCCAGGGCUUAUCCCAGAGUGCAAGGCAGAUUACCCACGUGUUACUCACCCGUUCGCCACUAAUCCACCCCCGGAAGAGGCUUCAUCGUUCGACUUGCAUGUGUUAAGCACGCCGCCAGCGUCGUCUCGUAGCACGGAGUCAACUAC